rnacentral:rRNA from 1 species
GAGUUUGAUCAUGGCUCAGGACGGACGCUGGCGGCGUGCCUAAUACAUGCAAGUCGAGCGGAUCUUCGUUAGCUUGCUUUUGGAGAUCCAGCGGCGGACGGGUGAGUAACACGUGGGCAACCUGCCUGUAAGACUGGGAUAACUUCGGGAAACCGGAGCUAAUACCCGGAUGAUCCUUUUCCUCUCAUGAGGAAAAGCUGAAAGACGGUUUCGGCUGUCAC